rnacentral:rRNA from 1 species
GGCUCGCUUCACGGCUUCCCUACGGCASCGACAACRGUCGCACCGUGGCCGACACCUAGCGAGUAUCGUUUACGGCUAGGACUACCCGGGUAUCUAAUCCGGUUCGUGCCCCUAGCUUUCGUCCCUUGCCGUCAGGUCCGUUCUGGUGAGACGCCKUCSCCACUGGUGGUCCUUCAAGGAUUACAAGAUUUCACCCCUACCCCUGAAGUACCUCUCACCUCUCCCGGCCUCGAGCCGAACAGUAUCUCCUGAAAGCCCAACAGUUGAGCUGCUGGAUUUCUCAAGARACUUAUCCGGCCGGCUACAGACCCUUUAGACCCAAUAAUAACGGUUACCACUCGAGCCGCCGGUGUUACCGCGGCGGCUGGMACCGGUCUUGCCCGGCCCUUGUAUGCAAUGCUUUUUAGGCAUCACGACAGCCAGAUUUGUAACCUGGCACUCGAGGUCCCCUUAUCGCCGUUGCCGGCAUUGUAAAGUUUUCGCGCCUGCUGACCCCGUAGGGCCUGGAUUCGUGUCUCAGAAUCCAUCUCCGGGCUCUUGCUCUCACAACCCGUACCCGUCGUAKGCUAGUAKGUACGCUACACCCACUACUACCUGAUAGGCCGCAGACCCAUCCUCUGGCGCCGGAGCUUUCGAUCUC